rnacentral:ncRNA from 1 species
UAGAUAGGCGUAGGAGACCCACUUGGCGCAGAAGCUACACACGCUCUUGCUGCAGGUAUGGGCGGUAUCCGCACUGCCGGAGAUCUGGUA